ensembl:rRNA 5S_rRNA 5S ribosomal RNA
GUUUAAAGAGGGUAUUUGUCGCGCUCUCGUCCGAUCUCGGAAGCCAAGCAGGGUCGGGCCUGGUUAGUACUUGGAUGGGAGGCCGCCUGGGAAUACCAGGUGCUGUAAGCU